AGACCGUUGAGCAAACUGCUUUUAGAUCCUGAAACUGAAAUUAGGAUUUUGCUCAAGCCAUCUCUCCAACUUUUGAAUGAGGCAAAAGGAGUGAAAAGUGCAUGGAGCAGGGGGAGGAAGGUGACCACAACCCUUUCUGAAGAGAGAAGCGCUACUCUGUCUUGUCUCUGCAUGACCAUGUCUGCCCAAUGACACCGUGGUGAAACAAUUGUGUACUUGUGUACUUCAUUUUGGACCAAGACCUUCUGGAUUUGUACAACCAGACAUCUUUGCAAGAUCUCCUUCCUCUUCCUUUGCCAUACCUAGCUAACCUCUAUCUUCUGGAAAAAGAAAUAAGCAGCAGGAUUGGUCUCAAGAGAAGUAUGUUCUCACUGUUUAGACGAGUUUGAGUCACACCACUCUUCAGUUUUGGAAAACAUCUUACAUUAGCAUCUUGCCUAGGAAGGUUCUCACCACAGCUAAGCCCAAGAACAUGAGCUUUGGCUCACUGGGUCUGUCCAGGAUAGGGAAGAGUUCAUUAAGAUUUCCGAGGAAAAAAAGGGGAGAUGAAAAAUGACUGAAUAAAUGACAAACAGAGCUAUGAAAUCAAGUUCCCAUGAUUUAAUAGAUCACCAUUCAUUCCUGGAGCU